rnacentral:rRNA from 1 species
CUACGGGGGGCAGCAGUGGGGAAUAUUGCACAAUGGAGGAAACUCUGAUGCAGCAACGCCGCGUGGAGGAUGACACUUUUCGGAGCGUAAACUCCUUUUAUAUAGGAAGAAGAUGACAGUACUAUAUGAAUAAGCGCCGGCUAACUCCGUGCCAGCAGCCGCGGUAAUACGGAGGGCGCAAGCGUUACUCGGAAUCACUGGGCGUAGAGAGCGUGUAGGCGGAUUAAAAAGUCAGAAGUGAAAUCCUAUAGCUUAACUAUAGAACUGCUUCUGAAACUCUUAAUCUAGAAUAUGGGAGAGGUUGAUGGAAUUUCUGGUGUAGGGGUAAAAUCCGUAGAGAUCAGAAGGAAUACCGAUUGCGAAGGCGAUCUACUAGAACAUUAUUGACGCUGAGACGCGAAAGCGUGGGGAGCAAACAGGAUUAGAUACCCCUGUAGUC